rnacentral:rRNA from 1 species
AACGAACGCUGGCGGCAGGCUUAACACAUGCAAGUCGAGCGCCCCGCAAGGGGAGCGGCAGACGGGUGAGUACGCGUGGGCACGUACCUUUUGGUUCGGAACAACUCCGGGAAACUGGAGCUAAUACCGGAUAAGCCCUAACGGGGAAAGAUUUAUCGCCGAAAGAUCGGCCCGCGUCUGAUUAGCUAGUUGGUGAGGUAACGGCUCACCAAGGCGACGAUCAGUAGCUGGUCUGAGAGGAUGAUCAGCCACACUGGGACUGAGACACGGCCCAGACUCCUACGGGAGGCAGCAGUGGGGAAUAUUGGACAAUGGGCGCAAGCCUGAUCCAGCCAGGCCGCGUGAGUGAUGAAGGCCUUAGGGUUGUAAAGCUCUUUUGUCCGGGAAGAUAAUGACUGUACCGGAAGAAUAAGCCCCGGCUAACUUCGUG